rnacentral:rRNA from 1 species
AGAGUUUGAUCCUGGCUCAGGAUGAACGCUGGCGGCGUGCCUAACACAUGCAAGUCGAACGAAGCACCUUACCUGAUUCUUCGGAUGAAGGUCUGGUGACUGAGUGGCGGACGGGUGAGUAACGCGUGGGUAACCUGCCCUGUACAGGGGGAUAACAGUUGGAAACGGCUGCUAAUACCGCAUAAGCGCACGAGAGGACAUCCUCUUGUGUGAAAAACUCCGGUGGUACAGGAUGGGCCCGCGUCUGAUUAGCUGGUUGGCAGGGUAACGGCCUACCAAGGCGACGAUCAGUAGCCGGUCUGAGAGGAUGAACGGCCACAUUGGAACUGAGACACGGUCCAAACUCCUACGGGAGGCAGCAGUGGGGAAUAUUGCACAAUGGGGGAAACCCUGAUGCAGCAACGCCGCGUGAGUGAAGAAGUAUUUCGGUAUGUAAAGCUCUAUCAGCAGGGAAGAUAAUGACGGUACCUGACUAAGAAGCUCCGGCUAAAUACGUGCCAGCAGCCGCGGUAAUACGUAUGGAGCAAGCGUUAUCCGGAUUUACUGGGUGUAAAGGGUGCGUAGGUGGCAGUGCAAGUCAGAUGUGAAAGGCCGGGGCUCAACCCCGGAGCUGCAUUUGAAACUGCAUAGCUAGAGUACAGGAGAGGCAGGCGGAAUUCCUAGUGUAGCGGUGAAAUGCGUAGAUAUUAGGAGGAACACCAGUGGCGAAGGCGGCUUACUGGACUGUUACUGACACUGAUGCACGAAAGCGUGGGGAGCAAACAGGAUUAGAUACCCUGGUAGUCCACGCCGUAAACG